CCACAAAUAUUCUUGUUCUGAUUUUGUAAUAAUCAGGGGAGGCUGAACAUUCGCUGUAUUAAGACCAUGCAUGUGUCCCGAGAUCUAGUUCUUACCCUAGGUCUGGUUUUAUCAAUGCUCAUGAUAAAC
ensembl:snoRNA SNORA72 Small nucleolar RNA SNORA72